CCGAAUGGGCACGCCCCAUUGUCCUGGCACAGUAGCAGCAUGCCCAGUGAGGAGUAGGAGUCUAUGGAGAUCUCUCCAUGGGCACAGGAUAAGGAUUUGUCAUAUUGCUAUUAUUAAAAAAUUUGGAUCCUGCUUUUCUCUAACUGCAGCAGUUUUUUAAUGUUGCAACGAUCGCCAGUAUUUGCCUUUUCUUUCUCUCCAACUCUGUCUCUCCAUUAAUUCUUUUACAGCUUUGCUGUUUACAUCAGUUUUCCCGCACGGAAAACGGUUCUUUCUCUUCCCGCCGUAAAUAAUCUGACUCUGGAAGAGUUCCACCACCCUCUCUUGCUUGCAGAACCUUCUCUUGCUGAAGAGCUGUACUUUCUUAUGGCAAAUUUAACAGCCUCGCUGGCAACGAGCGCUCCACUUAAUUUACGUCUUGAAAUCCAGGCCUCUGCUGGUUAGCUCCACCAAAGCUGCCUGUCACAUCUCAUUAGAUACAGAUUUUAUCUUCCAUUCACUUGGCUUUUUGGCAGAUAGUGUCACGAUGGGGAUGAGCAGGAAUUUGGGAGAAUGGCCUAUAUUGCCCCUAACUUAGUCCAAUGCCUCAGAUGCAGACCCAGCUUAUGAAAGCUUAGUAAUAUCAUUUAUUGUACUUCCUUCAAAAUUCCACCUACAUCUGUAGUUACUUUGGAAGGAAAACAGUCUACGUUGAGAGAACUGCAUAUCAUCUGCUCUCAGGCUUCCCAUAGGCAUCUGCUUGGCCACCGUGAGAAAAGGAUGCUGGACUAGAUGAGCCAUUGGCCUGAUCCAGCAGGGCUGUUCUUAUUCUAAAACUCUUCUAUAGCACAGACUCGUGCUGAUCUCGUCUCACGUGAUGCGAUUAAAUGUACAAGGCUUGCAUGCUGACUUCCCUUUACCAUUCCUGGAGUGUGAAAAUGCCUGCUCUGAAAAAUGGCACGGGGCUAAAAUUCCAUCCUUUUGAAGCAAAUGGAAUGUGAUCACUUGAGAAGAGUAGCAAAGGCUGUCUCUUCUCAUUUUAAUACCAUUUUACAGCUGAUUUAUUCUGUUAUGAUUUCCACCCCUGCAGGCAAUAGGGGUGUGUGUGUGUGUAGAGAGAGCGAGAGAGAGAUAGAGAGAGAGAGAGGUCACAAUUAGGAGGAUUGGAAAUCUGCUUUAUAUUGAGGCAGACCAUCAAUCCAUCUAGCUCACUGUUGUCCACACUGGCUGGCAACAGCUCUCUAUACUUCCAUAUAGGAGACAAGCCCAGCCUUAACUAGAGAUGCCAAAGAUUUAAUUUGGGACUGUCUCCAUGCAAGCAGAUGCUCGACCACUGAGCUAUGGCCCUUCUCCAGGAAGCUAGAUACCCACACAUGCAUGGGAAACCUUAUACCUUAAGCAUUAAAAUUUAAGGAGAGUUUGAUGGCUUUCUACAAAUUCAUGGUGUGACCAUGCUAUGUAUGAUUCUGGUUGCUGUGUCUCCAAAACCAAACCCAAACAAAAAACAGCAGAGCUGGGGAAAAUGCAGGAAAAAGGCAACCAAAAUGAUUAGGAGCAACUCCCACUAGGAGAAAAGGUUGCAGUUUUGAGGGCUUUUUUUAGUGUAGAAAAAUAAGACCAGGGGAGAUGACGGAGGUAAAUAAAAGUGGGUAGAGAGAACUAUUUCUCCCUCUCAUAAUUCUAAUAUGCAGAGAAUGAAUCUGAACAGUGGGAGAUUUAGGACAAACGUAACAAAGCAAAUACCUCACAUAAACUCACAUAAGCAAAUUCCAUAAUUUGCUUUCACCAGGAACGGCUGCCACUAGAUGGCUUUAAAAUCAGAUUGGACAAAUUCAUGGAGGGUAAAGGCUAUCAGCUGGUACUAGUCAAGCUGGGUAUGCCACCUCCUGGCCCAGAGGCAGCUUGCCUCUGAAUACCAGUCACUGAGGGGAUGGGACAGCAGGAGAUUUGUCGCACUCGUGUCUUGCUUGCGGUCUUCCUGGUUUUCCACUGCAGGGAACAGGAUGCUGGGCUAGAUGGGCCUUUGGUCUGAUCCAGCAGGCCGCCUGCUUAUGAUCUUAAGGUCAACUGCAGAGAUUUGCCUGCAUAUCUAAAUAGCACACCAGGACACUGGUGCAAGUUUAGAAGCAUCAUGGAGAGGUGUACAAGGGGAAAGGUUAUCAUAGCCAUGCUGUUCUGUUAGAGAAAAGUGGCCAUUUCUCUAGGUAUUUUAUUGUAGGUGGGCAGUUGGGGGAUAUGCUUUAUCCUCUUCAUCCUGCCCAGCGGCCUUGUACAGUGGUACCUCGGGUUAAGUACUUAAUUCGUUCUGGAGGUCCGUACUUAACCUGAAGCUGUUCUUAACCUGAACAGUUUAACUUUAGCUAAUGGGGCCUCCCGCUGCUGCUGCACCACCAGAGCAUGAUUUCUGUUCUCAUCCUGAAGCAAAGUUCUUAACCUGAAGCACUAUUUCUGGGUUAGCGGAGUCUGUAACCUGAAGCGUAUGUAACCUGAAGUGUAUGUAACCCAAGGUACCACUGUAUUGAAGCUGCUCCUGGCACAAUGCAAGACUUUUUGCAUUGUGUGAAUUCUUAUUGUGUCGGUCAAGAGUCUUACUCCAACCUCUCUGCCAACCCUGCAUUUGAGGCUCACCAUCCACACCCAGCCAAAUUAACUCUGCCCCGUGGAGCUUAGGUACAGACCGGUCCCACACGGGUCAUGGGAAUGUGUCCCAUGAGAUGCCAAUCUGCCCAGGAAUUCAUCCGACAUGACUUUUCUAAGCCACACUUUCGAAGUUUGGAGUGAUCAAGAGAUGAGAGCACAAAACUGGCUUCUUAAAAAUAUUGCAGUGGAAGAAGGCCUCUGCUGCACUUGUUGCAUUGCAUCAGACAAUGACUUGUCAUAAUACUGUUCAAAGAAAGCAAUAAUUCUCCAAUAUUGGCAUAAGUAACAAAUCAUUGCGGCGCAGAAGUAGAAUACAUAAUCUGAGGUGAGUAUUUUUGACCUCAAGUCAAGUGCUGUGCCUGCAGCUUCCACGGCAGACUAGUUCUUUCCCAAUUCAGGGGUGUUUCUUUUUUUCUUUUUUUGGGACUGAAGUAAAUUGGGCUUGCCAUAAUGUGCUAUUCAAAUAAAUCCUUUUUGUGCUUCUUAGCCAAUCAGGCAACAGUUGGUGCCUGAAUCCCAUCCAACUACUUUUUGCUAACUGCCAGAAUGUUACUUGUCGUAAGUGCAAAGCGGACAUGGUUGCCAGUAAAUCUGCCUUCAUGCCCUUAAGUCAUCUGGUCACCUGCUAUAUGUUCUGCCAAGCUAAUCAGUGCUUGAGAGAAGAUACUUUUGAAUACAGACAGACUCCAGAAGUCUGUUGCUGUUAGGCAUAUUAAAGAAGAUAAAUGGCACAUCUGCAAAACUCUGAGGCAGAUAAACUGUAGUCUGUUUUCCCUAUGCCGGCAUGUAUAAUGAGGCAAGAAUGGAAAAAAAGAAUUUCAAGGUAACUUUGGGGUUUUUUGGUUUUUUUUUUUUUUUGCUUAUAUGCCUAUCAUGAUAAUGCAAAUAAUUUCUCUUGCCUCUCUUCUGAAGGUGUUGAACCCAGGUUGUGUGAUAUGAAUAAUACUACUUCCAUUUCAUGAUCAUUUUAUAUUUUACCUGGUCCAGCACCUAGCCUUGAUGAAUGGUUGAAUCUUUUUUCCUAUUCCCAAACAGAUUAAUUGCAGUAAUUGAAAACCACUGCAUAUGUUACAGGCAGGAUCCUAAGAAUUGUUGUGGUGACAUAAGGGGCCUGCUUUAGCCCAUUGGAAUAUUUAAGCUUUUUGAUUUAGAACAGCAUAUUUUCAGCUGUUGAUUGAGAUUAAUAGAAUGUAAUCUUUUGCACAUUCACUUAAGAGUAAGUCCAGUUAAACCCAAUGAGACAUUUCUGGGUAAACAUGCAUGAAAUUGUGCUGUGAAUGUUCCUUUGUCACACAGAAUGGAUUGCAUAGUUCUUUGGAUCCUGGCCUAUAACUAGAAGAUACCAAUCAUAAAGGAACAUCUCAGUCCUAAAGAUAAAAUGUUCAAGCCAAGUGAAUG